rnacentral:rRNA from 1 species
UACGGAGGGGGCUAGCGUUUUUCGGAAUUACUGGGCGUAAAGCGCACGUAGGCGGAUUGUUAAGUCGGGGGUGAAAUCACGGGGCUCAACCCCGGAACUGCCUUCGAUACUGGCAAUCUAGAUUUCUGGAGAGGUGAGUGGAAUUCCGAGUGUAGAGGUGAAAUUCGUAGAUAUUCGGAGGAACACCAGUGGCGAAGGCGGCUCACUGGCCAGACACUGACGCUGAGGUGCGAAAGCGUGGAGAGCAAACGGG